CUUCUUAUACGCCUCUGUCUCUCUAUCACGUCCUCCCCUCUCUCUCUUUCUCUCUCUCUUUCUCUCUCCACCGCCGUCGGUACAGGAGCACACGACCACCACUGCCAUUGAUAUCACCGUCACAAACUAGCAGCACCUGAUGGCAGCACUCGCAGUUACGGAAAACAUUAGAUGCAAAUCUGGAAUAUAAAAAUUAACGACAUCUCUCACCUUUACGCGAUCGUUCGUUCGUUCGUUUGUGUCAAGUGUUUUCGUGACAGAGAAUGAGGAAGAAAGUAACUCCCGAAGCAUAGAGAGAGAAUCUAGAGAGAGUAAAUUAGGGCUGAGGAGGGAAAAAAGUUACAGAGGGUUUUCUCGUUGUUUUUUGGUUUCUCUCAAAGGUUAAAGCCUCUGCAACACUUUCUAUGUGUUUCUAAACCCCAUCAUUACCUUCAUUUUCAGAGAGAAAAUCCCAAGGAAAAAUGAGGAAGAUAUAUAGAGAGAGUCGUCUCUGGUGCGAGUUUAUCGAUUGUGGUGGCACAAAUUGGAUCUUGUAGGUUAUUCACAUUGUCGGUAUAUUGGAAAGAGUCAAUGGGUUCACCUACAUUGCGAUUUUGAAGGAAAUUUAGGGUUUGAUUGCUCUCAAUCUAAUUGAUUUGUGAGAAAAUGUUAUGGAAAACAUCAGCGGCAAUUGAAGGGGUUUGACAUUGAGAUCGGUGGCCAAAUUUAGAGGCUAGAAUCGACAGAUGCAGCAAUUAAGAUGCGUAAACUCAAAAACAAAAACAAAAAGGGUUUUCUUGACAACUCCAUUCAAUUCAUCUGAAAUUCUUGUUUUCUCCGAAAUGGGGUUGUGGGAUUCCCUCAUCAAUUGGCUCAGCAGGUAAUUUACUCCCUUCUCUUCUAAUCUUCCAUAUUUUUUUUUGUUAUUCUUCAGAUUGUGUUUCUUUUAUUUUCUUGGAAAUGUUGUUCAUGGUUUAUUGGGUACAACCUAGUCUCACAUUUGUCACAAAAUUGAAGUUUUUAAGCUCAAGAACAACCUAUUAGUGUUGAAAGAAGAAAUUAUAGUUCCUUUUGUAUCUGUUUGGUUUAUGGGAAACGACAUGGAAAUAAAAGGCAAGAUUUUGGAUUGUUUUGCUCCUUGAAAAUGUAUAACAAAAACUAACCCAAUUAAGAACUAUACAAUUUGGAUUGAAUAACAUUGGAAUUAACUGGAUUAUGUUUCCUGUUGUUUCUCAUUAAUAACAAGCUGGUAUGUUGACACUCUAUACUCUUGCACACAACUUUUCGAUGACACCUCUCUCUAUCAUGUAUCAUUUAUGGACUGUAAUAUUGAUUUGUAUUGAGUACACAAAAAGUAGAUUACAGAGAUAGUAAACUUCUAUUUAAAAUAGUUAUCAUAGUUUUCAUUACUCAGAAUUUUGACACCUAAUAAGAAAAGGGAGAAGGAUAGUGUGUGUAUCACUUACAAGAUGCAUAUAACAUGUCUUUUUGUAAUAACGUCCUAAAAUUUUAUAACAUGAACAACAAAAUGAAAAAGUUGUAUAUAACAUGUCUUUUUGUAAUAACGUCCUAUAUAUUCUACUUUUUCAAACAUUGUGUCCCCUUUUCUUAAUUAUUACAUCGUGAAAAAGUUGUGUUUUUUUUCCCCUUAUAACUUGUAUUUUUAACUUUUCAGCUCUCUCCGAUUCUGAUUCACUGUUCCACUCUUUUAUAUAGAUAGUAGUAAGUAUGAAAUGCAUUUACAACCCAAUAUAUUCUAUUUGUAAUUUGUCAAAGUAAGUUUUCUUUCUUGGUGAUCUGAUUAUCCUUUUCUAGUAUUUAAGAAUCUCUAAUGUGCCUAUCCUGUCCAAGAAUUUAAGAAAUUCUACUUUCAUAAACAUUAUUUGGUUAUGUACUUCAUAUGGUUUCCUAUUUGUCAUGAUACAUAUAAACCUUUACAUGACGCAUUGUCAAGAUGUGGCGUGAUAGUAACAGAGAGAAAGAAAACUGAGUUUAAAGGAAGGGAUUUGGUGCAGGAUCUUGGUAGGCUUGUCAAAGGUUCUAUAGAACUGGUUAGAGAUUUUGUAUCUGGGUUUGAAUUUGCACCUGGGGUUUUGGGUUCAUUGCUAUCUUAUGUAGAACUACUUGCUGAGGAAAGCAAUUAUGGAAGUCAUAGGAUUUGAAAGUAAAAUCUUCACAGCUACAUGAGGUUAGAUUCUGCUGCCAUGAAGGCUCUAACUGUUAUGGACAGCAAAACUGAUGCAAACAAAAAUUUUAGUUUCUUUGGACUCAUGAAUAGAACCUGUACUGCUGGGAUGAGUAAAAGAUUACUGCACAUGUGGAUAAAACAAACUUUGUUAGAUGUGAAUGAAAUCAACCCCAUGAUGCUGGGGUGGAUCUAUAAGAAUUCACCUAUCCCAGGAUGCUGGCAGAUAAUAUUACUUGUGUUUGCACCUUGUAACAUAGUAUUUAUAAAUAAUUAUGAAGAAUUACAAAAUGGGAAAACACUAAUUUCAUAUACCUUAACUAAUAAAAAGCACUAGAUGUUUUGUAAAGAAAUAUGAAUGAAUACAUGUAACUACUACUGUAAUUGUGUACAGUAUAACUAAUAGAGCUAUGACUUUCUCUGUAGCAUGCAACUAGCCCCAUAAACUAUAUUUGUGUAACAUCUUUUGGAGAAUAUUAGCAAUCACUAGUGUAAUACGUUUUUAUGCCUUUCAAAUUCCACAAUUCUUAUAAUUGACUAACUGCAGAGGAAAACUCCAUUCUUAAGAAAGAGAUUUUGGUGAUAUAUCUACUCACUUAUGAGUUAUCUGUAUUUAUUCCUUGUCUAGGACAGCCCACUAGAAC